GAUGAACGCUGGCGGCGUGUCUAAGGCAUGCAAGUCGAGCGGAUCAUUUUCGGUAGCAAUACUGGAGAUGGUCAGCGGCAAACGGGUGCGUAACACAUUGGUAAUCUACCUCGCAGUCGGGCAUAACACCGCGAAAGCGGUGCUAAUUCCACGAUGGCCUCCGUCCGCCUAUGGCGGAUUGAGUAAAGCGCAAAACGCGCUGCGAGAGGAACCUAUGGCCUAUCAGCUUGUUGGCGGGGUAAUAGCCCACCAAGGCGAUGACGGGUAGGGGAUGUGAGAGCAUGAUCCCCCUCACUGGAACUGAGACACUGUCCAGACACCUACGGGUGGCUGCAGUCGAGAAUAUUCCCCAAUGGACGAAAGUCUGAGGGAGCGACGCCGCGUGCAGGACGAAGGGCUUUGGCUCGUAAACUGCUUUUUUCAGGGAAGAAUCAUGACGGUACCUGAAGAAUAAGAGGUUGCUAACUCUGUGCCAGCAGCAGCGGUAAUACAGAGACUUCAAGCGUUAUCCGGAUUUAUUGGGCGUAAAGGGUCCGCAGGUGGUUAUGCACGUCGAUUGUUAAAUCUCCGGGCUCAACUCGGAAACCGCAGUCGAUACGGCACAACUAGAGGCCGGAAGAGGUAAGCGGAAUUGCCGGUGUAGUAGUAAUAUGCGUUCAUAUCGGCAAGAACACCAAAUGCGAAGGCAGCUUACUGGAACGCGCCUGACACUCAGGGACGAAAGCGUGGGGAGCGAAAGGGAUUAGAUACCCCUGUAGUCCACGCCCUAAACGAUGAAUGCUAGAUAUUGGGAGUAUCGACCCUCCCAGUGUCGGUUAAAAAAGUUAACACAUUAAGCAUUCCGCCUGGGGAGUACGGUCGCAAGACUAAAACUCAAAGGAAUAGACGGGGACCCGCACAGGUAGAGGAGCAUGUGGUUUAAUUCGACGGUAAGCGAAGAACCUUACCUAGGUUUGAAAUGUAGCUGCAAGCCGCUAGAAACAGUGGCCGCCUUCGAGGGUGCUACACAGGUGCUGCAUGGUUGCCGUCAGCUCGUGUCGUGAGAUGUACCGUUAAGUCGGAUAACGAGCGCAACCCCUGUCCCGUGUUGAAUGUUCACGGGAGACCGCCUCGGAUAACGGGGAGGAAGGUGGGGAUGACGUCAAAUCAGCAUGGCUCUUACACCUAGGGCUACACACGUGCUACAAUGGCAGGGACAAUGGGUUACCAAGCCGCAAGGCGGAGCUCAUCCCACCAAACCCUGCCUCAGUUCGGAUUGGGGGCUGCAAUUCGCCCCCAUGAAGCUGGAUUUACUAGUAACGGCCGAUCAGCCACGCGGCCGUGAAUACGUUCUCGGGUCUUGUACUCACCGCCCGUCACGUCAAGAGAGUUGGAAACGCCCGAAGGCCCCGAUGAGGGGACGAAGGCGGAGCCAGCGAU
rnacentral:rRNA from 1 species